CAAAGUCCUCGAGUGCAAUUUGUUAAUUCCUAUACAUAAUUAAUUACCAUCCUGAUAUUAAAAUCGAGGCCAUUUUAUUUAAAGCUUUAAACAUUAAACAAUAAGUCCUUCAGGGUUAGUAAAAGCGAAAAAUUACAAGAACAAAGGAAAAUCGAAUUUGCGAUAAACCGGACGAAGUCAGGGUAAAUUCAAUAAUAAAAUGUUCUCAUAAGUAUAUGAAAAAAUGGCGGCAAUGGUUUUAAAGAAACUGAUGAAUGGACUUAAUGCAUUUAGGAAUCUCACAGGGCAGAUUGAAUUAUUAAAUGUUCGAACAUGUAAACAAUUUUCCAAUUUAAGUUGUACGGGUCCUUUAUUAAAAUGGACAUGGUCCUUGCGGAGUAUCUUCCAGAUGGACAAAGCGAUGAAAAAUUUGCAUGAAAUUAGCCCAAAGCCCGAAGUGUCGCCUGUUCGUAUACCCUAACCUUCUCGCACUCC